rnacentral:rRNA from 1 species
UACGUAGGGGGCAAGCGUUGUCCGGAUUUAUUGGGCGUAAAGAGCGUGUAGGCGGCCAGGCAGGUCCGUUGUGAAAACUCGAGGCUCAACCUCGAGACGUCGAUGGAAACCGUCUGGCUAGAGUCCGGAAGAGGAGAGUGGAAUUCCUGGUGUAGCGGUGAAAUGCGCAGAUAUCAGGAAGAACACCUAUGGCGAAGGCAGCUCUCUGGGCCACUACUGACGCUGAGAAGCGAAAGCAUGGGGAGCGAACAGG